ensembl:lncRNA
AUGAAAGGAGAGCAAAAAAAGAUAGUCAGAAAUACAGUUCUCCCAAAAGAAAAUGGGAGUAAGACAGAUGCUCCUUUAAAGGUUAAUAUCAAUACAAAUGAAAAUCAAGACCAGGCAACCGACAUGCAUCAACAGAGGGAAGACUUAGUUGUUAGCAGGCUAUAUUCAGUUCAAGCUAAUAUUGGGGUUGAUGAGUAUGAGCGUCUUAGAGAGAAAUAUGGUUGUGUUGACACAACUUCACCAACCAGAAACCAAGCGUUAGCUGCAGGAAAUUCAAAUGACGUCACUGAAACACCGGUCUUAUUUCUUGAUAAAGUUGAGACAAAGAAUGACGAGAAAUCAAAAGACAAAUAUAGCCCUGCAAGCAGAGUUGCAACAGUCAACACAGAAAAUAAGGAGGAAGGAGGCAGCUUUAAACCCAUUGAGUUGACGGAAAGUCAGUAUGUGUACAGUGAGUCAUCCAAAGAAUUCAAAUUAUCGGAUGGUAAUUGUUUACCUACCAAUCUAGAUAAAAGAGCAAAUAGUGAUACUAUUACUGAUAAAGUAAAGGAUGACAGUGUUGAAAAGUUGGGGAAAUGUGAGCCUCUACAACUUCCACCCCCUGAUAUUUCACAGCAAAGAGAUUCCGAUUUGCCUAAACCGCUCCCCCUUGAAAGAAAACAAAAGUCAACUGAGCACAGUGCAGGUCCAGGUAAAAAUAUACAUUUUAUCCCUCCCAGAGUAUUGUCCCAUAAAGAGAGAACACAGACCAAGCAGGAGAUUCUGACUUCCAAGAUAAAAGCCCAUGCUGAAAAAGAAAUUUCAGCUAUUAAAGAAAAGGGUUUUGCUGUACGAGAUGGGUUUAUAUCCAAAAAUUCUGCCAAGCAUUUAGCAGGUAGUCAGAGUAUUAAUAUACGACAGAGGCCACCAGCACAGGACGUGUCUAAAAAACAUGAAAGCACAAUGUCCAGUAAUAUUACACCAACGCACCAGAUGGAGCCUUCAGUAAAACAGAUGGAACCAUUCAACUCAGUUUCACCUCCCAUCUCUGUUACAAUACCAGUGAAGUCUGCAGCAACCACCAGUCACUUAUUAGACCAUUCACAGACACAAGUUCCCAAAGAACCAAUGAAGUGCAAUGACAAUGUGCCAAAACCACCCAGAGUAACAAAACAUGCAGGAAGUUAUACCAUGACCACACAUGAGGGCAUGGUAGAAAAUCAAGAAGAAAAUAAUCAAUCUGGAAUUAAGCCACCAAUACAAAGUAAAGAGAAGGCACCCAAGAACAAGAAAGCAAAACAGGAAGCAAAUCAAGGAGAAAAUUCAAGACGGAAAAAGGGACAUCAUCUUUCAGUGAACACUGACCAUCUCAACAAGACGAAAGAGGACCCAUCACAAGCUAUAGCUCUGGUUGAAGCUGAAAGCUUCAAACCUAUGACGACACAAAAGACUGACAGUAAACAUGAAGCCGUUCCUGAGGACUCAGCACCUUCACUAAAUCUUGUCUGUGUUCAGAACGAGACUCCAGUAGCUGAUGACAACUUGAAGAUCAUAGGAAUAAUGGUAACUGUACAAGAAAGAAAGCCAUCUAUGGACAACGGUGAGAGGAAUAACAGCACUAAAGAACAAAUUAAUCUAAAAGAGAAAGAGUGCAAAAAUUCAGAGCUAGAUAAAUGUAAUCCCAGUUUAGGUGUGGAAGUAAGUAAUGGAAAUACAUCUUCAAAAGAAGAUAGCACAGUAAAGCCAAAAGAUGGAGUUGUACGGAACACUCAUUUGACAAUGAAGGAAGAACAAACUAAAGUUGGUAUGAAUAAUCAUCACAAAAACAAGCAAGAAACGUCAAUCCUAGAGACAAGACAGAACAAUGUUUUUGAUACAGCCACUGUGAAAAGUACCAAUCUCCAGCAGGAGAGUUCUUCUAUAAAUGCAAGACCCCAAAGGGUAACCCAACUCCAAGAGCCAUUGGCUGAAAAAGAUGCGCCCUCCACCGUCACUGUACUUUCUAAAAAUAAAGUGUUGGCUGAAACUCAACCCCUUCCCUACAAACAGGACAUAAUAGCGAGUGAUACAAAACACCACACGAAUGAAACACCAAAAGAAAACUCAGUAAAGAGCACAAGGAAACAUGCAGUUAAGAAUAAUACUGAAGAGAAAAAUCUGCCAAAAAGUCCAACAGCACAUACCAAAGAGAACUUCAAGGCCAAAGUGGUGAACACAGCAAUCAACUACGCAAAUGAUUCAAACAGCGCUGAUGCUGAAGCUCUGAUAAAACAUGACAUCCAGCCAUCAGUGAAAGAAGAAAUGACAACUGUUAUAUAUCCAUCCAAAAACAGCAACAUAGAUAGUAAGAGUGCACCCCUAGUGGAAGAAAAGAGAUGUGACUCAACACCACUAAAGCCGUCCAACAAAACCAGUCUAUCAAACCAUUUAACUGAGAACGAAGACACCAAAUUAUCUCCAAAAUAUCAGCAUAAAGAGACACACAUCGGAGAAAAUAAUCAAGUUAAUGAUAAUGUGCAUAUAGACAGCAUUGCCAUCAGAGUUGGGGCAGCAGUAACUGAGAAGGACGGCCUGAAAGUGGAAGGAAAACAUCAUGUCACCAGUGUAUCUUCUGAUGUAGUUGCAGCUAAUGAACAUAAACAAGUUGCAUCAUCGAAUCUUGAAGAAAAUGUGAACAUUUUAAGCAAUGAAGUCAGAACCAAAAACCUCACUCUAGCAAGUAGUGAGAAGCCGGUGAAAGACAGUUUGGAAGACACAUUGACAGUACAAAGCGUGUUGUCCAGUGUGAGAAAACUGUCAGAUUCCCUAAGAAUCAGAAGUCAACACACCAACAUAAACGCACCCAGUGACAAUACUCAAGCUGAAAAUGUAAGAGUAAAUGAAGCCGGGAAAUCAGUGGAUGAAUCAAAUGUACAACCAAUGAUGGGAGACUACUUUCAAGUGCAAGGGGUAUCAGAAACAGAUGAUGAACCACACAAUCGUACAAAUGGUGAUACAUCAGAUGCUGGAAGGGAACUUCCAGGAUUGCAACCAAACAAGGCAGCUAUCAGUAAUGAAGGAAACAAUGAAGUCUUUGUGCUGGAUCAAAGUAAAAUGAAAACAAUGGAAUCAAGUUCAGUGACAGUUCAAGGUGAGAACCUAAAAAUUAAAAACAGGGAAACAGAAGAUGACCUGGCUUCAAAACAGAGUGAUGGUCCCACAGAGAGACAGAGUAAUAACAGUGAGAAGAUAGAGGCCGGUCAAGCUGUUCACAUCAGAAAACAUCACACAGAGAACCAGUCCAGUUUAUCAGCAAGGGAAAGACAUUGCUCAACAAAGGAAAAUAUGGUUAAAGAAAAACUUGAAGUUAAACCAAAGCCAAAAGAAAGGGUAUCCACAAUACCUGAUAUAUCAGCAAUUGCAGACUAUGCCAGAUUAAAAGUAAUUGUUUCAGAAGACGAGGCAAACCCAAUUCAGGAAUUCCCACCCAACAAAAAGGAGGGAUUCUUUCCAAUAAUACAGAGUCGUCAUAGCAGACGUCCAGUGUUUACUGUUGACCCACAAGACAUCUCUGUGAAAGAGAAAAAAUUGCCAAAAAAGACAGAGGCCAACUCCAAAGUGAACAAAGAGCCUAAACUUUUAGUAUUUCCCAUUACGGAGAAAGAACACCAAAGGACUGGGAUGUUCAAACUGGGAGACAGAGAAAGACAAGAGAAAAUGCUUUUAGAUGCCAAGGUCAAUGAAGGUGCAUUAGACAAUGGGGCAAAACAUGCACAACAUCUCAAAGAGAGAACCAAGUCACCAUCAACUCAUCUUAAGAACCAGGGAAGUGAAGAACAAAUAGCAGGAACUGACACCCAAAGAGUUUGUCAAGUAGAACAAAUUAUUCAUCAGACAAACAAACCUCCCUUGCAAGCAGCAACUUCAUCUUCUUCAGUAAACAUGCCAAGAAGCACAUCUGUGUCCCAACACCUAAAGCCAACUGAUAACUCUUAUCCACAUGAAAAACGUAUUGGAGAAGUGUACAACAUAGAGAAAAUAAUACAUGAGAAGAAGAUUGGGGAAGAGAGAACAGAAAAAACAAAACAAGAAAGGCUUGCAACUCUGCAUAAAGAAACUGAAGCACAACAGCAGAGAAGAGCAAGACAGUUUGAGGAAAAACAAGCCUCUCGGAUAGAAGACGUGAGAGUUAAAAAUAUGAUAGAGGAGAAUAGAGCUUCUCUGGCUGAAGAAGAGAGGAGAACUGCUCAGAGAGAAGAGGAGAGGAGAACAAGAGAGCGGGAGGCCAUUGCUUUUAAGAUCAAGGAGAGGCGGGAAAAACAGAGAGCAGCAUUAAGAAGGGCAGACGAAGAAAGAGCUGCUCAAAAAGAAGAGGAGAUGAGAGCAAAGCAAAGAGAAGAAGAAAUAAGAAUUAAAGAAUUUGAGAAGAAGAGGAGGAUAAAGAUUGAGGAAGAGCGUAGAGCAAAAUUAAGAGAGGAGGAAGAGCGAAUAAAAGAGGAGGAGGAGAGGAGGAGGGUGAAACUGCGAGAAGAGGAGAGAGCUGCUCAAGAAGACCAGCAGAGAAGAGUGGCACAAAAGGAGCAGCAGAGGAGAGCUGCACAAGAGGAGCAGCAGAGGAGAGCUGCACAAGAGGAGCAGCAGAGGACGGGUGCUCUAAUUGAGGAGCAAAUGCGAGCUAAACAGAUUGAGGAGAAGAUACUCGCUGAUAUUGAGGAGAAAAAGAAAAGAAAACUGAGAGAGGAAGAGAAAGCUGCUCGAAUUUCAGAGGAGGAAAGGAUCAAAGAGAUCAAGAAGCAGAAGAAAGCAGAGCAGAAGAUUGAAGAGCAGAGGGGAGAAAGAAAAAAAAGGGAAGAAUGGAUGAGAACUCAGAGAGAGGAGGAUGAGAGGAGAGCUGUUGGAAAAGAAAGAAAAGAAAAGCAAGUCGGAGAGGAGAGUGCCAGACUCCUUAAUGAGAACCAAGCAGCACUGAAAGAGGAGGAGAACAGGGUAGCAAGGGAACACAUGCUAGCUCAAGGAGAGGAUGAGAUCAGGGCUAAAAAGAGAAAAGAAGAGGAAAGAAAGUUAGCCGAACGCAGAGAAAAGGAGAGAGCCACUCAGAUGGAGGAGCAGAAAAGAGCAGCACCGAGGAUGGAUGCUCUCCAGUACUAUGCCAUCACCUCAACAGAAUCAGAGAGGAAACCCAGAGAAAGACAGCUAUGCUCCCCUUUACCUUUCCAACAAAGACACAAUCCAUCAGGGCUUGGGUCAGCUGAGGACUCAGGAGCCUACACUAGGUCAUAUAGGCCACAUGCCCCUGCAUCUCCAGCUCCAUCCCUGCCCCGCUCCAACACCUCCUCUCCUGCUCUGGGAGGCAAGCCCUCAAUGUUCAGGGUGAAGGAUAACACUUUCAGAGGUUCCUCUUUUACCAAGUCAGUCAAACCACGCUUCCAUAAGAACUUUGGAGAGGAUUUCCGGGUGGGUUCACCCAUGGACAGAGGAGAGGAGGAGCAAGAGAUGAUGAGAAGCAGCGCUGGAACCCCUGUCUAUCCUGACGCAGGAUUAAACAGACUUUCUGCUAUCAAAGAAUCCUCCACUUUUCCGCCACCAUAUUCAUCACAGGAUUACUCAGCCCCUCUCCCACAACACAGGCCUUACUCCAGGAGGAGCAUUGCUCUGGACGAAGACGACUCUCGCUCUGUCAUCAGCAACAUGUCAGAAGAUGUGGAGAGUUUUGCCACCAGUGCAGCAGAUCUGGCAGACAUACGAGGCCUGUAUGACUACGAAAGGUCAGAAUCGGCCUGUAGCUUCAGCAGUGAUGUCUCCCGUUCGAUGGGUAAGCCUCCGACUGUUCCCCCAAAGAGUGAGCAAGCCUUGCGGAGAGCAAAAAGGUUGACUACUCGGAGAAUCAAGAAGGAGUUUUCCAAAACUGCAGCAGACAGCCCUGCUGAUAAAUCUCUUCAAGAAGGCUCCAGUAAUCCAUCCUCCUCCAUUGAGCUCCAGCUCCAGUGACACAGUACCAUGUAGAGUCAAGCUAUCCCCAUUCCUACCCUCUGACCCAGCGUAAGGUGCUGCAAGACCUCGGCUCUGGCCAGUAUUUCGUGGUGGACGUGCCAGUUCAAGUGAAAACGAAGACUUUCUUUGACCCGGAGACGGGAAAGUAUGUCCAGCUGAAUGUGCGCGAGUCCGGCCAGAGCACCUCCCGACUGCAGCCCCAGCAGACGUACAUACAACCUCAGCUCCAACCCCAAAUGCAGGUCAAGCUUCAACAACAGCCCCAGGCCCCUCCAGCUGGCAAGCCCUUUGUGCUUUAUCAAGGCAACCAUGGUUAUCCCGAAGACUACCAACCUCCCGCUAUCAACUCUGUACCCUGCCACAGUUCAUCGACCCCCGUGACUCUCCAUCAGGACCAACAGCCUGUCAUUGAGAGCCACAGCUACGGAAAUCCAGCCUCUGAAAUGGAAGAGAACUCUGAAGGACAUCGCUACAGCCCAGAGAAGACUCCAUACAUGGACACAGUUAAUGAUAAAGACAAAACAUAUAACACAGUUUACAACACACAUGGCCCAUAUGAGUCGUUCCCAGAGUUUGACACAAACAGCCAGGUUGCAGAAAGCUCAGUUUGUGAAAAUGAUAACUCAGCCCACUCACAAAGUCAGCUUCGUGAUAUAAUAACCAUCGGUGAUCUGGAAGACUUUAUGGAGGUGUCUGACUGGUGAGAGCAAAGACUGGGAGCUUGGGUUGAUACUCUAAAACAGACAAGUAGCUAAAUAAAGUAUUUGAUAAAAUAAAGAUACCCAAAAGCACAGUAUGAAUGAAUCAUGAUAUGCAGUAUUUUAAGUGUUAGUAAAUUACUUUUCAAGUGAAAAUAGUCUCAGAAUUGCUGCUGUUGAUUUUGGAGAUUCACUGUCGAACUAUUUAUUGUGUAACAGAGAUGUUCACCAUUCCAUUUGACUUUUGAAUGUGAGAAGUUAAGAUAUAUUUCUUGUGUAUACAGUAUGAUAAGAAUCCCGUUGCCUCCUAAACCUAGAAGUAUGCUAUCAUACAUCAAAGAGCAACAGUGUGUCCAUAGUGUUUAGUGGUUUGGAGAAACAUUGGUUUCUGCUAUGAACAUUAGCAGGCCUGCUUAAGUUUUCAAUCGUUUUACUUCUUGUUGGAGUUAUCCUACUUUUGGCAUUUUGUGAUGCAUGAAAUAUUGUUAAACCCACAACGACAAAUACCCAAUAUCUGCACAUGGUGUGAAGCAUAGUGUGUGUAUCCAACCACUGUGUCAAAGUGAAACCAUGGUGAUGUGAUUAUUGCUGUUUUUAAGGUUUCAUCGGUAGUCCAUUUUAAAGUUGGAAGUUUGUGAGAGUGUUUCUGUGUUGCUGUGAAACAGAGUAGUGUGACAUGGACUUAUCCAGCUAAUAAAAACACACUUCAUUCAACCAAAUAAUUCUCACCACAAUGUCUUUCAAAAUUACAUCGUAAAGGUAAUAAAUAAAACAAAGAGGAAAUAUAAAAGAUUGCUUCUAUAGUUUGAUUUCAUUUUACUACUCAGAAGACUGUAAUAACAAUAUAAUAUUACUGCCACUGGCAUCCUCUUGAAAUGUACCCUGUGUCUGAAGAAUCUUUUUAGUGCAUAAAAAGGGUGCAUCAGGCAAUUACAAAGUGUUAUUGAGAGAGCACAAUAAUAUGUCCUGAGAGAGUACAUAAACAGAAAGAGAAAAUAACAUUUUGUUAAUGACAUGUGUGUGUAUGUCUUUGCCUAUUAUAUCCAUGGGAUCUAAUAAAAUAAUGAAAUGUACACAGCUGAGGUGAGAACGCCUGCAUAUACUCCUAUACCAGCUUCAUAGCAGCCUACUUAUUGUUGAUCCCCUGAGAAGCAGUAACCUGCUUCGACCACUGCAGGGCAGAGGAGAGCGAUUCCUCCACUGGAGCAAAGACUU